UACAGAUAGUACCAUGGAAAUGCCUUCAUCCAGUGGCACACAGAUGGCGAGAUUACAGAACUUGAACCAGAAUGCUAUCGCGCAAUAUACAGGGGAUGUUAGAAUAGGAGAGAUGACAG